GAUGAAGAACGUAGCGAAAUGCGAUAAGUAAUGUGAAUUGCAGAAUUCAGUGAAUCAUCGAAUCUUUGAACGCCUCUUGCGCUCCUUGGUAUUCUGAGGAGCAUGCCUGUUUGAGUGUCAUUAAAUUCUCAACUACACUGACUUUGAAUUGGUGUGGCUUGGAUUUGGGGGGAAAAUUGUUGUGGGCUUUUUGUAUAGUCUGCUCCCCUGAAAUUGAUUAGCGGUACCUUUGUGGAACUGUCUACAGGUGUGAUAAUUAUCUACAUCAUAGACAUCUGCUGGAAUGCUGCUUUCUAAACCUUACUUGUAUUGACAAUCUUGACCUCAAAUCAGGUAGGACUACCCGCUGAACUUAAGCAUAUCAAUGAGCGGAGGA
rnacentral:misc_RNA from 1 species